GCUGCCCCAGGAAUGGGCUGAUUUCCUGAGUACACAUUAAUCUGAGCUCCCUCAGCCCUAGGGGUAGGGGGAUUGGGGGCACAAGAUGGGUGGAGCCAGAUAGGGAAGAUUCCCCCAGUGUUGUCCUGCUCCCAGUCCAGGUUUGGGACAAUGCCGGCAGCGUUUCCCUGUGUCUUUCCCCCACAAAGUCUCCAAGUCUUUCCUCAAAUGAUCGUCAAGGUUUGGGAGAAACAAUCUCUUCCUCUGCCCGGGUUGCGUGGAUCUCCAGUGGAAAGAUACUGCAUGACAUUGAAACAGCCGGUGUAUUAACUAAUGUAUAUGACAGUCCACCUCUGUAUGAUGAUGUGAAAGUGCAAUUUUUCUCUUCAGCUUUAUCUACCAAGAAAUGAAUUGGAUAAUCCACAUAAACAAAAAGCUUGGAAAAUUUAUCCACCAGAAUUUGCCGUGGAGAUACUUUUUGGUAUGGUUUCUGUGGAUUCUCUGCUCUUUGUGCUCUCCUCCCCACAUUGGUGGCUCCAUCUGGCACAGGGAAGCUUCUGGAUGUCAGAAGGGACAGUAAGUGGUGUUUCCUGGGAGAUGCUACGGUGUUAUUUUUGCACUACAAGGGCUCUGAAGACUGCCAGGCUUGAAGUGAAGAACCACGUCACCUGCCUAUCCCAGCCAGGUGACAGUGGACAAGGGGCUUCACCUCUGAGCUGUUUUCCAGCUGUACUGGGCACAUUCCUCCUCUCACCCUGACUCACAAGGUGUUAGCAAUAAUGGACACUCCUCUAUCUUCUGCCACACUCUGAACAAUACUUCACUUCCAUCAAAUGGAUUCAUCCCAAAGGUAAUGCCCAUCGCUUCUGGAGGGAGAAAGGGAACGGGUCACGCAUGUGGAUGAUCAAAGGUCAGCUCCUGGUCAAUAUGAGAAGACUGGUUUCAGAAAAGUUGAGUGCUGAAGACUACAAAGCUGUUUGUAAGUUAUCAAGCUAGGAUUUGAUCCCAGGUCUGCCUGAUAAAUCCUGGACUCUUAACCAUGACAUAGGAGUGCCCUCUUGACUCCUAUGAUGGCAUAAAGAAUUGUAUCAGAACGGGUAAUCUGGCAUUAAAACCCCUGUGCCACAA
rnacentral:lncRNA from 1 species